CAGAGGGUGCAAACGCUGCUCGGAAUCACUGGGCGUAAAGGGCGUGUAGGCGGGAAGGAAAGUCAGAUGUGAAAUCCCUGGGCUCAACCCAGGAACUGCAUUUGAAACUCCCUUUCUUGAGUACCGGAGAGGAAGGUGGAAUACCUGGUGUAGAGGUGAAAUUCGUAGAUAUCAGGUGGAACACCAGUGGCGAAGGCGGCCUUCUGGACGGUAACUGACGCUGAGACGCGAAAGCGUGGGGAGCAAACAGG
rnacentral:rRNA from 1 species